AACGCGGAAGCCGAAAAGCGCAUAGAGUAGGCA
rnacentral:ncRNA from 1 species